rnacentral:rRNA from 1 species
AUGAACGCUGGCGGCGUGCCUAACACAUGCAAGUCGAACGGGACUUAUUGAGACGAUUUCGGUCUGAUCAUUAAGUUUAGUGGCGGACGGGUGAGUAACGCGUGGACAACCUGCCUUUCACAGGGGGAUAGCAGCUGGAAACGGCUGGUAAUACCGCAUACGCUCAUGCCACCGCAUGGUGGUGUGAGGAAAGAUUUUAUCGGUGAAAGAUGGAUCCGCGUCUGAUUAGCCAGUUGGCGGGGUAACGGCCCACCAAAGCGACGAUCAGUAGCCGGCCUGAGAGGGCGGACGGCCACAUUGGGACUGAGACACGGCCCAGACUCCUACGGGAGGCAGCAGUGGGGGAUAUUGCACAAUGGGCGCAAGCCUGAUGCAGCGACGCCGCGUGAGUGAAGAAGUAUUUCGGUAUGUAAAGCUCUAUCAGCAGGGAAGAAAGGCCCGCAAGGGAGAUGACGGUACCUGACUAAGAAGCCCCGGCUAACUACGUGCCAGCAGCAGC